AGUGAACGCUGGCGGUAGGCCUAACAAAUGCAAGUCGAACGAGUGGCGGCCGGGUGAGGAAUACAUCGGAAUAUACUCUGUCGUGGGGGAUAAAGUAGGGUAACUUACGCUAAUAACGCAUACGAUUAAAUGAGCCGAUGGCGGAUUUGCUAGUUGGCGGGGUAAAAGGCCACCAAGGCGACGGUCCGUAGCUGGUCUGAGAGGAUGAUCGGCCACACUGGAACUGAGACACGGUCCAGACUCCGACGGGAGGCAGCAGUGGGGAAUAUUGGACAAUGGGCGCAAGCCUGAUCCAGCCAUACCGCGUGGGUGAAGAAGGCCUUCGGGUUGUAAAGCACUUUAAGUUGGGAGGCGUUACCCGCAGAAGAAGCACCGGCUAACUCCGUGCCAGCAGCCGCGGUAAUUC
rnacentral:rRNA from 1 species